rnacentral:rRNA from 1 species
CCCUUAGAUGUUCUGGGCAGCCCGCGCACUACAAUGGCGCUUUCAGCGAGUUCCUAUGUUGAAUUUUCCUGGGUAUUCUUGGAAGCGGCGUCUUGACUUGGGAUAGAUCCUUGUAAUUGUUGGUUUUGAACGAGGAAUUCCUUGUAAUCGCGGUUGAUCAGCUCGCGUUGAAUACGUCCCUGCCCUUUGUACACACCGCCCGUCGCUCCUACCGAUGAAUCGUCCGGUGAAGUUCACAGAGUGGUGGUUCGUGGAGUUGCUCGCGAAGUGAAAUGGACCUCACGAUUUAGAGGAAGGAGAAGUCGUAACA